rnacentral:lncRNA from 1 species
CAAAAUAAAAAAUAAAAUACAAAACAACUUGUCUGAUGCCCCCCUGCCACCACAUUUCAAGUGAAGUGCAGGGAAAUGUCCCUUCCCUGCAUGCCUGCUCUUCAUUCUUCAGUCCACAAGCCUCGUGUUUGUGCAGCUCCUGGCCUGUCACCCAGCCCGAGUUAUCGGUGACGAUAACAUCUAGAGAGACUGGCUUCCUCUAGUCAUGAAGUGUCAGGCGCUGCUCCCUCCUCCCCAAACUCCAGACUUGGCUGAGGGACUCUCUGUCCCAUCUUCUCACCUCUCCUGCACCAAAGGGUUCUUGGUUUACCUGGGAAGGAUGUGAGCCAAGUCCCCAGACUUCUCCCUGCCCUAGCACCCCAUUGAGAAAAGCCAUCUCCCAUCCCCAGGCUGCUAUCUUUCCUCCUUAGGGUUGGCACCUUCCAGAGUCACCUCCUUGAUUGUACACACUGAUUGAGGGGCCCCACCUGGGAUUCUGGGAAGCCUGGCAGGCCUGUGGGUGACCUUGAACUCGUCCUUUCUCUCGCUUGAGAUCUCUCCUCUGAGCCAAGAGGGGAGGUCAACCUCAACUUGUCCCCUUAGCAGCCUUAUUUAUAUUGCUAAAUAACGAUGAUGAUGAUGAUGACAACGACAAUGACACAGCAGUUACUGCCCACUGUUCUAAGUGCUCUACAUAAAUCAACUCAAUCCUCACAGCAGCCCUUCGAUGGAGGUCCUCCUAGUUGCCCUGUUUUACAAAUGAGGAAACUGAGGCCCAGUAGGUAAAAUGUCUUGCCCAAGGCCACUUAACUUGGAAGUGGCAGAACUGGAAUUUGAACUCGGGUUGUCUGGUUCUAAAGCGUUCAUCACCCCUCUGGACGGGUGUGUGGUUUUCUUAAAGCUCACUACUACAAAUACCUCCAAUCCUAACAGAGCCACCAUUAGCAUUAGUAAAGAGGCAGGCUGGGUGCCAUGGCUCAAGCCUGUAAUCCCAAGCACUUUGGGAGGCCGAGGCGGGUGGAUCACUUGAGGUCAGGAGUUCGAGACCGCCACCAACAUGGUGAAACCCUGUCUCUACUAAAAAAAUACAAAAAAUUAGCUGGGCAUGGUGGCGGGCACCUGUAGUCCUAGCUACUUGGGAGGCUGAGGCAGGAGAAUCAC